rnacentral:SRP_RNA from 1 species
GCUGGGUAUGGUGGCGCAUGCCUGUAAUCCCAGCUACUGUAAUCCCAGGAGGCCGAGGCAGGAGAAUCGCUUGAACCCGGGAGGUGGAGGUGACAGUGAGCUAAGAUGGCACCACUGCACUCCCGCCUGGGCGACAGAGUGAGACCUUGUCUCAA